UACGGAGGAUCCAAGCGUUAUCCGGAAUCAUUGGGUUUAAAGGGUCCGUAGGCGGUCUUGUAAGUCAGUGGUGAAAGCCCAUCGCUCAACGAUGGAACGGCCAUUGAUACUGCAGGACUUGAAUUACCAGGAAGCAGCUAGAAUAUGUAGUGUAGCGGUGAAAUGCUUAGAGAUUACAUGGAAUACCAAUUGCGAAGGCAGGUUGCUACUGGUGGAUUGACGCUGAUGGACGAAAGCGUGGGUAGCGAACAGGAUUAGAUACCCUGGUAGUCCACGCCGUAAACGAUGGAUACUAGCUGUUGGGGGCGACCUCAGUGGCUAAGCGAAAGUGAUAAGUAUCCCACCUGGGGAGUACGUUCGCAAGAAUGAA
rnacentral:rRNA from 1 species